rnacentral:lncRNA from 10 species
CUAGAAAACAUCUAACCUGUUUACGUGGAAGAUCAUUUUUGUCAUAAUUAGUAGUGGGAUCAAUUUCACUGUUAUUGUAUAUACAGCUCUGUGCCUCAAACCUUUCCACAUGGCUGGGGAGGCCUCAGAAUCAUGACGGGAGGCAAAAGGCACUUCUUUCGUGGUGGCGGCAAGAGAAAAAUGAGGAGAAAGCAAAAGUGGAAACCCCUGAUAAACC